rnacentral:rRNA from 4 species
GACACGACUCUCGGCAAUGGAUAUCUCGGCUCUCGCAUCGAUGAAGAGCGCAGCGAAAUGC